rnacentral:misc_RNA from 1 species
GUUUUGCUCGCAGCCGGUCUGGGGCAAAGC